UGUGUGUGUGUGUAUACAUAUUGUGUUUUUUUUGUCGAGAAUCCAGAAUAAUCGAGAGAGAGAGAGAGAGAGAGAGAGAGAGCUGCAAACUGAGAGUGCCAGAACGAUCGAGAGAGAGAGAGAUCUGAUCUCUCAUCGUUGCAGGCAGAAAGAGAAAGAUAGAACCAAGGUUUUCUUUGCGAUUCGGUUGCGUAUCAAAAUGCCGUAUUUGACUACAAAAUUCAGGCCAGAGAAUACAUCGCGCGGGAACUUACUUUAUGAGUUCCGAUGUUAGUGGUAUGGCUGCAAUCUGAAAGAAGAUAUACUGGUGACAUUGUGGGAGGAUAUUUCACGCAGUCUUGAUAUUGAGGCUAUCAGGACUACACCGCCACCUGCGCUCGCAGUUUUCACGAGCCUCAAAUUGAAACAAUAUCAAAACAAAGUUUCACUGUCAAGCACAUGAAGCACUUUUUACAUCCUCAAUCCUGACAUUCCAGGGGCUGGAGCUUACAAACAAGUUGAAGUUCGCUGUCCUUAUAAUACUGUCAAUAUCCUGUCACCUCUGCCCAACCAACUCAUGAGUCCUGAGGAGUACGUUGGAAGCUAUGGAGAAAAAGACUGUCGGAAUUAAACAUCUUUAAUCCCACUUAUAUAUGGUAGUUUUCUGGGAGUAUCUGUUUAAACACUAUGCGUGUGAUUAACUGUGAGUUCUUAAGUAGUUGCGAAAUGGUGAGACACAACUUUAGUAGAACAGUUUCCCGUGUCUAAUUAAAAAAUUGUAAGAAGCAUGAUGCUUCUCAAUAAGUUGAAGAAUUUGACUGCUAUGCAGCAGGCUGUGGUUAUCAUGACAGGUAUUAGCGUACUGGGUUGUAGUGACAUAUAGUCCACCACCUUCUUUAAUGAUGAGGUACCAUCAGUUUCGGAAACUAGCUCAUUGGAAUUCACCCUCUUGACCAGCCCGGGUAUUCAUCACUCUCAGCCCAACACACUUGGCCCAAAUCCAAUUAAUGAGCUGAUCCCUUCUUCUGCUGUCAUCCAUGACACCUCGGAUUCUCCUCCUCCUUCCUCUGUCGUUGACCUUGUUGCCCAACUCCCAGCACCCAACAUCGCUCCACCACCGAGCUCCCCUCCACCUUCUUCAGCCGCUCCUUCAUCGCCUCCAGGGCCAGCACCACUCGGCGCCCGCCUCCACCCCUAUCCGGACCUACCAGCGCCGCCAACCCGUUGUCCCAACUUCACCUCCUUUGCUCCACCGUCCUCUCGGCCAGAUCCUCCUCCCCCACGUCCCCACCUGCUUCGGCGGCUUCCCUUUCACCACCAGAUCACCCAACUCCGCCACCGGAUCCUCCCAGGCGGACCCGUCUUCAAAAUGGCAUUGUUCAGCCUCGCAUACGAACAGAUGGUACAAUUAAGUAUCCCAUCUCUCGUGCACUCCUCACUGCUGUUGAAUCUGCAGAACCUACAUGCUACACUCAGGCCUCCAAACACGAGGUAUGGCGUGCAGCAAUGGUUGAAGAGAUCAAUGCUUUGCUGAAGAACAAUACCUGGACUCUUGUUCCCCCAACUCCAUCCCAGAACCUAGUUGGCGCACUAAGCACAUCGAACUUGAUUAUCACUUUGUUCGUGAGACAGUAGCCCUUGGCAGCCAUCGUGUUUGCUUUAUCCCAUCCGUUGAUCAGCCGGCCGAUCUUCUGACCAAACCUCUACAUAAGCGUCGUCAUGCUUAUCUUACUAGCAAACUUGUUCGUGCAGGCCCGUCCAGUUUGAGGGAGGGUGUUAGAGAGAUUUGUGUAACUGAAGAUUUGUGCAAUCAAAACUGAUGUUUGUAUUUAUAAAAUUGAAUUGUGUUUAUAGCUGAUUGUAACAGUAGCAUAACAGUUAAUUAGCUUAGCUAUAUAAUUGUACAUUGUAAUCAGAUUGAGAAUACAGAAAACACAUU